GCAAGUCGAGCGGUAACAGGGGUAGCUUGCUACCCGCUGACGAGCGGCGGACGGGUGAGUAAUGCCUAAGAAUCUGCCUAGUAGUGGGGGAUAGCCCGGGGAAACCCGGAUUAAUACCGCAUACGCCCUUCGGGGGAAAGCAGGGGAUCUUCGGACCUUGCGCUAUUAGAUGAGCUUAGGUCGGAUUAGCUAGUUGGUGAGGUAAUGGCUCACCAAGGCGACGAUCCGUAGCUGGUCUGAGAGGAUGAUCAGCCACACUGGGACUGAGACACGGCCCAGACUCCUACGGGAGGCAGCAGUGGGGAAUAUUGGACAAUGGGCGAAAGCCUGAUCCAGCCAUGCCGCGUGUGUGAAGAAGGCUCUAGGGUUGUAAAGCACUUUAAGCAGGGAAGAUAGUGCGUUGGAUUAAUACUCCUUCGUAUGGACGGUACC
rnacentral:rRNA from 1 species